AAUGUGAUAAGGAUUAUGUCGAGGUCGAUGGACAGAGAUACUGUGGGGAUCACUCGAUCCUGACCCACCGGAUUGAGAAAUCUCAGGCCGUUGUCUGGUUUCAUUCGGAUGAAUCCCACACAGACCGAGGGUUCAUAGCCAAUUACCAAGGAUAUGACCCCAGGAACCCCUGCCCUGGGGAGUUCCUGUGUCGCUCGGGGCUCUGCCUGAGCCUCUCGCUGAAGUGUGACGGCUGGAAUGACUGUGGGGACAUGAGCGACGAGCAGCAGUGCAG